rnacentral:tRNA from 2 species
GGGCGAUUAGUUUAGUGGUAGAACAGGGGUCUCCAAAACCUCUGGCGGGAGUUCAAUUCUUCCAUCGCCCG